UGGCGGGAUGCUUUACACAUGCAAGUCGAACGGUAGCAGGUCUUCGGAUGCUGACGAGUGGCGGACGGGUGCGUAACGCGUAGGAAUCUGCCUAUUAGUGGGGGACAACUUAGGGAAACUUAAGCUAAUACCGCAUACGCCCUACGGGGGAAAGGAGGGGACCUUCGGGCCUUUCGCUAAUAGAUGAGCCUGCGUUGGAUUAGCUAGUUGGUGGGGUAAAGGCCUACCAAGGCGACGAUCCAUAGCUGGUCUGAGAGGACGAUCAGCCACACUGGGACUGAGACACGGCCCAGACUCCUACGGGAGGCAGCAGUGGGGAAUAUUGGACAAUGGGCGAAAGCCUGAUCCAGCAAUACCGCGUGUGUGAAGAAGGCCUUAGGGUUGUAAAGCACUUUCAAUUGGAAGGAAAAACUCAUGGCCAAUACCCAUGAGCUUGACAUUACCUUUAGAAGAAGCACCGGCUAACUCCGUGCCAGCAGCCGCGGUAAUACGGAGGGUGCGAGCGUUAAUCGGAAUUACUGGGCGUAAAGCGUGCGUAGGCGGCUCGUUAAGUCAGAUGUGAAAGCCCUGGGCUCAACCUGGGAACGGCAUUUGAAACUGGCGAGCUAGAGUUUGGGAGAGGAGAGUGGAAUUUCAGGUGUAGCGGUGAAAUGCGUAGAGAUCUGAAGGAACACCAGUGGCGAAGGCGACUCUCUGGCCUAAAACUGACGCUGAGGUACGAAAGCGUGGGUAGCAAACAGGAUUAGAUACCCUGGUAGUCCACGCCGUAAACGAUGUCAACUAGCCGUUGGCUCUCUUAGAGAGUUAGUGGCGCAGCUAACGCAUUAAGUUGACCGCCUGGGGAGUACGGCCGCAAGGUUA
rnacentral:rRNA from 1 species